GACGAACGCUGGCGGCGUGCUUAACACAUGCAAGUCGAACGGAAAGGCCCUGCUUUUGUGGGGUGCUCGAGUGGCGAACGGGUGAGUAACACGUGAGUAACCUGCCCUUGACUUUGGGAUAACUUCAGGAAACUGGGGCUAAUACCGGAUAGGAGCUCCUGCUGCAUGGUGGGGGUUGGAAAGUUUCGGCGGUUGGGGAUGGACUCGCGGCUUAUCAGCUUGUUGGUGGGGUAGUGGCUUACCAAGGCUUUGACGGGUAGCCGGCCUGAGAGGGUGACCGGCCACAUUGGGACUGAGAUACGGCCCAGACUCCUACAGGAGGCAGCAGUGGGGAAUAUUGCACAAUGGGCGGAAGCCUGAUGCAGCAACGCCGCGUGCGGGAUGACGGCCUUCGGGUUGUGAACCGCUUUCGCCUGUGACGAAGCGUGAGUGACGGUAAUGGGUAAAGAAGCACCGGCUAACUACGUG
rnacentral:rRNA from 1 species